AAAUGGAGAACAGCUGCUCACGCUCGUCGUCUGACAUCAGCUAUUUCUCAGGAUGACCCUGCGAGACAGGCCAGGGUCAUUAGACCCAAUUUGGUUCUCAGCAAAUAUGUGUUUAUUCCUGCAUGCGUGGGCCACAGGCUGGUUUCUUGGGUGCAAUGAAUAGCUGCAGGUUUAUUAGGGUGUCUUUUUAGAUGGAUGUAUGUUUCCCGAUGUCUAUAGAACACUCCGGACCCCGGAGAGUGAAGACUCUGCCUGUCGGACUUGCUUUGAGAAGAUCCUUCUCCACCUCCCCAUGGCAGAAGUUGCUUCACAGAGGGGAACAGUUUUAUGGAUGUGGCUGAGACCUUAAACUUGAGGCAACCCAUCUGAGGUGGCAUCCAGAGGAGACUGGCUGGCCCCUCCUUCACCUUGGAUGUAGUGCUGUUUCUAGGAUCUCUUUUCAAUCAGCAAAACAGGGGAUGUUCCAAGAGGGUGUGGAUUCCCUGCCAUCCCACAUGGUCAAGUGGAGGGGACGGGAAAAAGCUAUGAAGGGUUUGUGACCACACAGACUCUCCUGGCCCCCUGUCCUUUUGGAAAGAAGACAGGGAUGAAAUAUAAUCAAGCAAUUAACCACCCCCAUCAUCACCAAGAACAACAGUAUCAACAAGAAGAACAGGGACAACAAAACCCACGGAUGAAACAUUCCUUUCUCAGCUCAGAUCUUAUCUGGUGCGUUCUCUCUCUGCUCUGUCUUGGUGUGUGGUUUAGAGAAACAUGGACAACGCUGUUUGGAAGAACAGUAGCCAGUCCUGCCAGGGUUCUGGCUGUGCCGGGACAGUGAAUGGCCACUCCGUCCCAGAUGAGCUGCAGGAAGCGUUUCGAUGUCAUGUGGAGGUGAUGGCGAUUUUCAACUCAUUCCCGUUACAAACAGCCGACCUUCCUACCGAGUUCAAGUACCUUCUGCCUGGCCUGGAAGAACAAUAUCUCUCUGUCUCCCUCUUCCACUGGCCCUCACCUGCCUUCCCCUGAACAUGCAUUUUGCCUGACAGGAGACAGAGGCAGUUGAUGCUUGCAGCUUGGUCCAGGAGGCCAGCAGGACCAGAGAGAAGACCACAGCGACACAUGGGGAUGGCUGUCCCACAGGCAGAAAUGAGCAGCCGGGAGGAAGCCCAGGCAGCCAGCCACCCAGCUCCCUCCACAUCGUGGCCCUAGAACGGAGUCUUGAAGAAUAAGAAGCCACAGCUUGUCAGGGAAUCAGGCUGGAAAAAUGUUAUGAGACUGAGUAAGACCAGAGAUUCCUCAGCAGUGCCUGGAGAAGACCAGGAGAGGAAGCAGAAGACCCUCCUCAAAGAAGCAGCCUUCACCUCCAGACCUCCCAGCGGGACUUAGACAAUGGGGUUAGGCAGUCACAUGUCUGCACGUGGAAACUUUCUGGGACUGUGCUUGGAUCCUGGCUCUGCCUUUUACUAGCCAUGUGACCUUGGGAAAAUCACUUGACUUCUCCGUGCAGGAUUCCUCAUCUGUAAAAAUGGUCUAAGAUUAGGAGCCACCUCAAGGUUGUUGUAGGAAUUAAAUUAAUUCAUGUUUAUAAAGUGCUUUGAACAGCGUUUGGCACAUGGUAAGUGCUAUGUGGUAAGUGCUGUCUAUUGAUUACAUAAAUAAAAGUGAUCACCAUUAGACUUUC
rnacentral:lncRNA from 1 species